rnacentral:ncRNA from 1 species
GGCACGUGCUUAAUGAGUACAUGCUUCAUACUGCUGUGCCAGCAUCGUUUAAUUGGUGCUGAAUACUAGUUGCACUAAGCAAGUUAUGAUUCUCCAGUAUGAGUAAAAACUACCGUUUGGGCUGCGUGAGAUGCGCCGGGUCCACC